AAGGGCACCACAAGAACGCGUGGAGCAUGUGGCUUAAUUUGACUCAACGCGGGGAAUCUUACCGGGUCCGGACACACUGAGGAUUGACAGGCGCAAGGAGCUUCGGCUCUGCAAAUUUGCUAGUCCUUUCAUGAUUGUGUGAUAGGUGGUGCAUGGCCGUUCUUAGUUCGUGGAAUAAUCUGUCUGCUUAAUUGCGUUUUUUCAAUUGUGCCUUGAUACCCAACAUGCCUUCUUUUGCAAUAAGGUUAGUUCGCUUUUCAGUGGGCUUCCUUGCGGCAUCUGUAAGGUGGGUUUUUCAGGGCCUUCUGAAACGAACGAGACCCCAACCCUUCUUUUUCGAUGUUAUGCAACGACUUGUUGCUACUUUUGUGGUUUUCAGUUUCGGUGUGGUUUGAUCCUUCGGGUGAGGGCUCAUUGUUUACUGGCUAUCACUAUACGACGUUGUCAACAGAAGGGGGCUGUUACAUUUUAAUGUAAAGGAAGGUUGGGGCAAUAACAGGUCUGUGAUGCCCUUAGAUGUUCCGGGCUGCACACGUGCUACAAUGAUCUAUGCACUAAGCAUCUUUUAGUUCCGUAAUGUGCGAUUUUCUUUUUGAAGAUCGACGCAUACGCGGCAUGCCUACUUCGAAAGCUAGUAGGUAAUCACUUGGUAAUAUAGAUUUCCUUUGCAUUGUAACAUCAGUCUCUACUUGUAGGACUUGGUGUUACGUGUUUUCAAAUUAUGACUUCUUAGUGGGGACAGACCAUUGUUAAUUGUUGGUCUCGCUUUAACUAGGAAUGCCUUGUACAGGUGGUUCAACAGACCACCUGGAAUACGUCCCUGCCCUUUGUACACACCGCCCGUCA
rnacentral:rRNA from 1 species